AUCACUUCUCGGCCUAAUGGCUAAGAUCAAGUGUAGUAUCUGUUCUUGAUUUUAGUUCAUUUGGGCGAGCUAGUGGUCCUAAAGUGUAUAUAGAAGGUCUACUGGCUUUCAGAGUGUUUGUAUAAGAGUUACCUUGCCUCAUCCACGGGUUGCUAAGGUGUGCGUUUUUUUGUUAAAAAAGUCUACUGGCU